GAACCCGUGGCGCAGAGGUAGCGCGUGUGAUUCCAGUCCACAAGGUCAUCCGUUCAAUCCGGGUCGGGUUCA
rnacentral:tRNA from 2 species